UACGUAGGGUGCAAGCGUUAAUCAGAAUUACUGGGCGUAAAGCGUGCGCAGGCGGUUUUGUAAGUCUGAUGUGAAAUCCCCGGGCUCAACCUGGGAAUUGCAUUGGAGACUGCAAGGCUAGAAUCUGGCAGAGGGGGGUAGAAUUCCACGUGUAGCAGUGAAAUGCGUAGAGAUGUGGAGGAACACCGAUGGCGAAGGCAGCCCCCUGGGUCAAGAUUGACGCUCAUGCACGAAAGCGUGGGGAGCAAACAGG
rnacentral:rRNA from 1 species